AACCCCUCAAGCUCUGCUUGGUGUUGGGCGUCUGUCCCGCCUCAGGCGCGGACUCGCCUUAAAAUCAUUGGCGGCCUAUGUACCGGCUUCGAGCGCAGCACAUUCGCGUCUCCUGCCUGGCACCCUGGCGUCCAGCAAGCCUCAUACCCCA
rnacentral:misc_RNA from 1 species